GUUCCUACGGAGCGCAGCAGUGGGGGAUAUUGCACAAUGGGGGAAACCCUGAUGCAGCGACGCCGCGUGGGCGAAGAAGUAUUUCGGUAUGUAAAGCCCUAUCAGCAGGGAAGAAGAAAUGACGGUACCUGAGUAAGAAGCACCGGCUAAAUACGUGCCAGCAGCCGCGGUAAUACGUAGGGAGCGAGCGUUGUCCGGAAUUACUGGGUGUAAAGGGAGCGUAGGCGGGAUGGCAAGUUGGGUGUUAAAUCUACCGGCUCAACUG
rnacentral:rRNA from 1 species